rnacentral:lncRNA from 1 species
GUACUAAGAUGUUUGAGCUUUAUUUUCGGGUUUUGAGAUGUUUGAGCUUUAUUUUCAACUUUGCUGCAAUUCCUGCAAUUUAGAAAUCAAGGAAUUCAAGCCCAAUGAAUGAACCCCAUAAUUUGCCUCAACACUUUGAACAAUAUAUAUUUUAAGAUAACAAUAUAUUCAAGUUACCAUCCAAAUGUUGGCAUUUGCCUGAAAUAUACUCUUGAAGAAGAGAGCUUUUCUCUGAGACAUAGGUACCUGUAUUCUUUUUUUACCUUAUCUUUUAUUGGACUAGUUUGCUAACCUUUUGUUGUCAUGGUUUAUGUAUAAGAUAAUUUGAAAAUUUGCUUGUUCGAAUUUAAAAAGCUGCUACAGUUUAAAGAAAUCUUUUGUCCCAAUUCUUGAUUGCUGGUUUUAUCUUUUAUGAUGGUGAGCUUUAUUUUCAGGUGCAAUGAUGUUUGAGAUCCAAGGUAUUCUUUUUCUAUUUUUUUUGCUUUUUCAUGGUUUCAAUAUUGGUCUUAGUAAAAUAAAAGAAUUGACAUAUGGGCAGAAAUUGUGGGGAUAAAUGGACAUCAUAAGAAAAGCAACAAAGAUAAUAGAUUUACCUAUUCCAUUGUCUAAUUGAGAAUCAAUUACACUAGAUUUAAUCCUGUUUUUCUUUUGGGUUUUGGUCAAGAUCUGGUUGCAUAAGGUUGGCCGUUGUCAAACCUGCAAGUCCAAAUCAAAUUUUGCUAAUAGCAGAGUCAAAUAGCAUGGUACUGAGACAUUGUGCAUUGGAGAUUUUUCUGUUAUCUGUUUUCUGCACUUACCUUACCCCAUACUAAUAUGAUUUUCAUGGGAUUAUGUGCACUAUAUGAGAUCUGGAGGUAAUUGUGAGUACGUAUUAUACGAUCCGAAUGACACAAAAACAGUUUAUGAUUUGAGUUGCAGUAUUUAGUUCUCUACUAGCUAAUCGUUACAUUAUUAGUGGACCAUGAAUGGUCAGGUCUCUUCAAUUAUAUGGGGAAUAUAAUGCCCUCAUUCAAGUUUAUUAAGUAUUGUAUUGUUUCACAUGUUCUGAAUAUUUACGUACAUUUAACCUUUAACUAAAGGAAAACCUUGGUGCAGUAUCAUCAAACCCUUAGUGAAAAUGUCCAUUAGUGCCAUUCACAUAUUUCUUUGUGAUGUUUCUGUUUCUUGACGGUUCUUCAGCGAAAUUGAAGCAUUUCUCAUAAUAUGCCCCUCUUGUGCUCUCUUUGCAUAAAUAAUGUCAUAAUAUGAUGAAAACUAUGGGGUGCAUGCCCCCCCACGUCAGAUCGCAGCAUUGACAUUUGCUUCAGUAACCCUGAUGAUCAGGUACCCAAUCUUCAUUUCUCCUCUAAAUUUAUGAAAUAACCCAGUUAGUCUUUUCUUUGUUGCCGUUGUGCCUUAGAUUUCUCUCCCAUUUUAUUGAUUUUUUCCCUGACUUCUCAUUUAUGGUAUUGCCACUAUGGUUUUGUUUUAAAGACGAAUGACAUUUGAUACAACAAUUUACAGAGCUGUUACCUUCAGGAAAUCUAUGCUACCAAUUUGUCUUUGUUGGUUUCAUCUUGUCAGGUGUUUGAGCCUUGUUUAGGAAAUCUGUGGUAAAUAAAAUUUGUGUUUGUUUGUAGAGUUUUCAUUUACUUGUUCCCUGCACUUAUCCAAAUUUCAUACUAGUAUGAUUUCAUCGAGAACUUGGGUUGAAGAAAGAGAAGUUAUAAUUUUUAAAGUAUACUAUAUACUUUUUAUGAGAUCUUGAGGUAGUGUGAGCGUUGUGUAUGGAUUAGAAUAGAAUGCCCAGCAAGAAGCAGUGGUUUUUUAUUAUUUAUUUUUAAGUUGCCGUAUCAGGUAAAUAAAAUUGUGUAGAGCUCUGGUUAGAGUUUAUUUGGUAUUGUAUUUCUUCACCCCAAAAACAUGGCUUUGUAUUUUAGCACUGCA